GUGGAUAUAGCUCAGUUGGUUAGAGCACCUGGUUGUGGUCCAGGGGGUCGGGGGUUCAAAUCCCCUUAUCCACCCCA
rnacentral:tRNA from 1 species